UUCAACGACAAAAAUGUUGACGGUCCUCUUCAAGAGGGUACACUCAUCUACUCGGACUACAAGGACUGCAUCGUAUUCGAAAUGCCUUACGAAAACUCACAAGAAUGCAUGUUGUGGGUUUCUUGGGAAGUGAAGAACAACGCUCCGCAGCGUUGCAUUGACGAAUAUGAAGACAGCUGCGACGACGCUAAACAAACGUUUGACGACGCCACCUGUAGCCCUUUCUUCGAAGUCAAUGGAUCAUAGGGUUGUUAUUACAACGACACAUGAACCUUAUUUUUGCACUG
rnacentral:lncRNA from 1 species